AUGAAAUUGCCGGGUUGCAGGACAAUGAAGCAUUUUGACUGAAUCCUGACUCCUACAGUAUUUGAUACCAGAAGUGACUGCAGAGAACAGACCUUGGAGGGUCUCUUCUGUGAGAAUCAGGGCAUGGACUGGGAAGGUGUUGGACCCCAGAAUCAGGAGGGGGGCGAUGAGCUGCAUACCCUGACAAUCACACCAAGCAGAAGUAGCCCCUGUUUGAUGGGUCUGGUCCUGCCUUGUUUGAAGACCUCGCUGUGACCUCACCUGAUGUGGUCACUUUGCAAGCAGGUGCUGAUUGCCAUCCCACUCCACCACCACCAACCUCACCACUUCCAAACCUGCAAUUAGAAUC